AACAUUCAGCCCACCCGCACCCUUCAAUGAGAACGUAUUCUGUAUGGACUAUUUUGAAUGUUUCUUUGUGAUCCUACCAGAUCCCAUCAUCUUCACUUCCUUCAGCCUAAAGUCCAUGGCUCUUCCUCUCUUGCUUUCCUCUUCUUUUUCCCAUCAUGUAGCAGCUGAAAUGGACGAUAGCAGUUGAAGCAAGGGAUGGCAGUGGAAAUUCAAGUAAUAAGCAAGAGCAGCUGGCUGCACAAUACACACAAACGGCAACCAUGUUUAGCUUUUCUUUGAAUAUCUACUGCUGUCCAGAAUUUAUGUAGUGAGUUUCACCUUCCUUUUCUCACAUAUUUCUUCUAUAUCUUGUGUAUUUGAGUGGAUAAUCAUAAGGAAGGAAAAUAGGAUCUGUAAAUAGGAUUAAAACCACCUGUUAGAGCUCAAAGUACAUCAGGAAAUUUGUGAUGUUUUCUAUUUGUGCUGCAGCAGUUUCCCCCUCAGUUUUAGCUUA